UUGCCAGACUCCUACGGGAGGCAGCAGUGGGGAAUAUUGCACAAUGGGGGAAACCCUGAUGCAGCGACGCCGCGUGAGUGAAGAAGUGAUUCGUCACGUAAAGCUCUAUCAGCAGGAAAGAAAAUGACGGUACCUGACUAAGAAGCCCCGGCUAACUACGUGCCAGCAGCCGCGGUAAUACGUAGGGGGCAAGCGUUAUCCGGAUUUACUGGGUGUAAAGGGAGCGUAGACGGCAGGGCAAGUCUGAAGUGAAAGCCCGGGGCCCAACCCCGGGACUGCUUUGGAAACUGUCCGGCUGGAGUGCAGGAGGGGUGGGCGGAAUUCCUAGUGUAGCGGUGAAAUGCGUAGAUAUUAGGAGGAACACCAGUGCGAAGGCGGCUUACUGGACAGUAACUGACGUUGAGGCUCGAAAGCGUGGGGAGCAAACAGGAUUAGAUACCCGAGUA
rnacentral:rRNA from 1 species